rnacentral:rRNA from 1 species
AUUGAACGCUGGCGGCAGGCUUAACACAUGCAAGUCGAACGAGUGGCGGACGGGUGAGUAAUGCUUGGGAAUCUAGCUCAUGGAGGGGGAUAACUACGGGAAACUGUAGCUAAUACCGCGUACAUUAGGCGGCGCCCAAGUGGGAUUAGGUAGUUGGUGAGGUAAAGGCUCACAAAGCCGACGAUCUCUAGCUGGUCUGAGAGGAUGACCAGCCACACUGGGACUGAGACACGGCCCAGACUCCUACGGGAGGACGCAGUGGGGAAUAUUUCGCAAUGGGGGCAACCUGACGCAGCCAUGCCGCGUGAAUGAAGAAGGCCUUCGGGUUGUAAAGUUCUUUCGGUAGCGAGGCGUUAACUACAGAAGAAGCACCGGAUAACUCCGUGCCAGCCGCCGCGGUAAUAC